AGGGUGGACGAGGUGGUGCAUGGGUUGUCGUCAGCUCGUGUCGUGAGAUGUUGGGUUAAGUCCCGCAACGAGCGCAACCCUCGCCUCUAGUUGCCAGCAUUCGGUUGGGCACUCUAGAGGGACUGCCGGCGACAAGUCGGAGGAAGGUGGGAUGACGUCAAAUCAUCAUGCCCCUUAUGACCUGGGCUACACACGUGCUACAAUGGGCGGUACAAAGGGCUGCGAACCCGCGAGGGGGAGCGAAUCCCAAAAAGCCGCUCUCAGUUCGGAUUGCAGGCUGCAACUCGCCUGCAUGAAGCCGGAAUCGCUAGUAAUCGCGGAUCAGCAUGCCGCGGUGAAUACGUUCCCGGGCCUU
rnacentral:rRNA from 1 species